rnacentral:rRNA from 1 species
GGGGGAAACCCUGAUGCAGCCAUGCCGCGUGUGUGAAGAAGGCCUUCGGGUUGUAAAGCACUUUCAGUAGGGAGGAAGGUAGUGUAGUUAACACCUGCAUUAUUUGACGUUACCUACAGAAGAAGCACCGGCUAACUCCGUGCCAGCAGCCGCGGUAAUACGGAGGGGUGCGAGCGUUAAUCGGAAUUACUGGGCGUAAAGCGCAUGCAGGCGGCCUGUUAAGUCAGAUGUGAAAGACCCGGGGCCGUUAACCCUUACCGGAAUUGCAUUUGUAAACUAGGCAGGCUAGAGUCUUGUAGAGGGGGGUAGGAAGUUUCUAGGUGUAGCGGUGAAAUAGCGUAGAGAUCUGAAGGAAUACCAGUGGCGAAGGCGGCCCCCUCGGACAAAGACUGACGCUCAGAUGCGAAAGCGUGGGGAGCAAACAGGAUUAGAUACCCUGGUAG